rnacentral:rRNA from 1 species
UACGUAGGGGGCAAGCGUUGUCCGGAAUCAUUGGGCGUAAAGAGCGUGUAGGUGGCUCGGUAAGUCCGCUGUAAAAGUCCAGGGCUCAACCCUGGAAAGCCGGUGGAAACUGUCGAGCUAGAGUCCGGAAGAGGCGAGUGGAAUUCCUGGUGCAGCGGUGAAAUGCGCAGAUAUCAGGAGGAACACCAAUGGCGAAGGCAGCUCGCUGGGACGGUACUGACACUGAGACGCGAAAGCGUGGGGAGCAAACAGG